UUUCCGGGCCACACUCCUCCAACCACGGCCAUACCUUUCACACGAGAAACACAGAGAGGCUGGGAAUUCAGUGAACUUUGGGAUUCUGUAACCCGCACCGAUGAACUUGUGUUUAAUUUUCACCACGAGGAACCCUUGCAGAGCCGUCCUUACCGCCGUGACAGUACAGCAGCCACGCCGGCUCCUCAGGGCUUCCCGCAGGUGGCCCUUCAUCCCGGUUCACUGCAGGUGACAGCCUGAUGAAGGAAGAGGUCCCCGCAGACCACGGGUGCUACGCACGCGCCCAGUUCCCAUUGGCAGGGAGCCCGAGCCCUGCCCUGGGGCCCAAGGGCGCGACCACACCCAUCCCCACAUCCCCACUUGGCGGGCCCCUCUUCUGAGACCACUCCCAGGUCCGACUCUGUAGCAGUCGGGCAGGAGAAGGAGACGAGAAAUAGACACGGUUUCUCAGCAGACGAAAUCGAAUACGAGCAUUUGGUGGCUCAGGGCCCGGAGGGCUGAAGAAACAGAUCGUAUGGCAGAAAGCUGCCGUCCCUAAGGCGAGGGGAAGCAGGGAAGAGGUCGGGCUGAGCAGACACCUAGACGCCAGGAUGAGGGGCCUGGAAGAGGCAGAGCCUGGAUCUCUGAGGAGGGGCUGCCACAAUUUCUCAGGGAAGGCGGAAGCAACCUUAUCCACCACGAGGGGAUAUGGGGCAGGAGAUGAUUUCUGAGGACCAUCUUCCAGGCCAUUGAAGACUUGGGGAGGUGGAGUAGCUUUCUAUCACAAUAACGCAAACAACGCGUAGAUAUCCACGAGCGCCGCUCUCUGAUCUCCUGAGAAAUCAAAGGUAAUGCCAGUCUGGGUUUUGAAGCCCCCCCCCCCCCCCCCCCGCCCUGCCCCGGUUAAGCACAAGAGGGGAAGGCGGCUCUCUUUCUCACCCUGCCCCCUUUGCUGUGUGCUGGCCCCAGGAGGCUUCCGUGGGGGAUGGCCACCUGGGCUCACCUCUCA